rnacentral:rRNA from 1 species
ACGUAGGGGGCUAGCGUUGUCCGGAAUCAUUGGGCGUAAAGCGCGUGUAGGCGGCCAGAUAAGUCCGGUGUGAAAGUCAAAGGCUCAACCUUUGAAUGCCGCUGGAAACUGUCUGGCUAGAGUCCGGAAGGGGCGAGUGGAACUCCUGGUGUAGCGGUGAAAUGCGCAGAUAUCAGGAAGAACACCUAUGGCGAAGGCAGCUCGCUGGGACGGUACUGACGCUGAGACGCGAAAGCGUGGGGAGCAAACAGGA